rnacentral:snoRNA from 1 species
AAGGCUACACUUUCAGGGAUCAUUUCUGUAGUUGGUAACUAGAGAAGUUUCUCUGAUCGUGUAGAGUACCAGGA